rnacentral:rRNA from 1 species
GACGAACGCUGGCGGCGUGCUUAACACAUGCAAGUUGAACGGUAUGACAUGGAAGCUUGCUGAAGUGUCAUAUAGUAGCGGACGGGUGAGUAAUGCAUGAGAAGCUGCCAUUGGGAGGGGGACAACAGUUGGAAACGGCUGCUAAUACCCCGUAUGCCGGAAGGUGAAAGGGAGCGAGCCGCCCGAUGAGGUGCUCAUGUCCUAUCAGCUGGUUGGUGGGGUAACGGCCUACCAAGGCGACGACGGGUAGCCGGCCUGAGAGGGUGAACGGCCACACUGGAACUGAGAUACGGUCCAGACUCCUACGGGAGGCAGCAGUGGGGAAUAUUGGGCAAUGGGGGGAACCCUGACCCAGCGACGCCGCGUGAGGGAAGACGGCCGUCGGGUUGUAAACCUCUUUCAGCAGGGAAGAAGCGAAAGUGACGGUACCUGCAGAAGAAGCACCGGCUAACUACGUGCCAGCAGCCGCGGUAAAAC